rnacentral:tRNA from 1 species
GACUUUAUGGCCCAAUGGAUAAGGCGCUGGUCUACGAAACCAGAGAAUCAGGAUUCGAUCCCCAAUGAAGUCG